ensembl:miRNA gmo-mir-19d gmo-mir-19d
AGCUUUGCAGGGUGGGCAGUCAGCCUGGGUGCUUUGGAGCCGCUGUGCAAACCCAUGCAAAACUGA